rnacentral:rRNA from 1 species
UGAGCCAAGUUUAGGGUUUUCUCAAAACCAAGCAGUAUUGAACUGAAGAGUUUGAUCAUGGCUCAGAUUGAACGCUGGCGGCAGGCCUAACACAUGCAAGUCGAGCGGAUGAAGGGGGCUUGCUCCUGGAUUCAGCGGCGGACGGGUGAGUAAUGCCUAGGAAUCUGCCUGGUAGUGGGGGAUAACGUCCG